UUAACGAACGAGACCUCAGCC
rnacentral:siRNA from 1 species